AGCGAACGCUGGCGGCAGGCCUAACACAUGCAAGUCGAACGAGGUCUUCGGACCUAGUGGCGGACGGGUGAGUAACACGUGGGAACGUGCCCUUUGGUACGGAAUAACUCAGGGAAACUUGAGCUAAUACCAUAUGUGCCCUUCGGGGGAAAGAUUUAUCGCCAUUGGAGCGGCCCGCGUCUGAUUAGCUAGUUGGUAGUGUAAUGGACUACCAAGGCUACGAUCAGUAGCUGGUCUGAGAGGAUGAUCAGCCACAUUGGGACUGAGACACGGCCCAAACUCCUACGGGAGGCAGCAGUGGGGAAUCUUGCGCAAUGGGCGAAAGCCUGACGCAGCCAUGCCGCGUGAAUGAUGAAGGUCUUAGGAUUGUAAAAUUCUUUCACCGGGGACGAUAGUGACGGUACCCGGAGAAGAAGCCCCGGCUAACUUCGUGCCAGCAGCCGCCGCAGUAA
rnacentral:rRNA from 1 species